rnacentral:rRNA from 1 species
GAUGAACGCUGGCGGCGUGCUUAACACAUGCAAGUCGAACGGUGAAGCAGAGCUUGCUCUGUGGAUCAGUGGCGAACGGGUGAGUAACACGUGAGCAACCUGCCCCGAACUCUGGGAUAAGCGCUGGAAACGGUGUCUAAUACCGGAUAUGAGCUGCGAUCGCAUGGUCAGCAGUUGGAAAGAUUUUUCGGUCUGGGAUGGGCUCACGGCCUAUCAGCUUGUUGGUGAGGUAAUGGCUCACCAAGGCGUCGACGGGUAGCCGGCCUGAGAGGGUGACCGGCCACACUGGGACUGAGACACGGCCCAGACUCCUACGGGAGGCAGCAGUGGGGAAUAUUGCACAAUGGGCGGAAGCCUGAUGCAGCAACGCCGCGUGAGGGAUGACGGCCUUCGGGUUGUAAACCUCUUUUAGCAGGGAAGAAGCGAGAGUGACGGUACCUGCAGAAAAAGCGCCGGCUAACUACGUGCCAGCCGCCGCCGUAAGAC